UGUCAUUGGUCAUAAGUUAUUACUUGUUUGACUACUUGGUGUCGUGUCAAAAGAAUCGAGGGUAGAUUUUCGAUAAACCGGCAUCGUGACGGUGGCAAAGAUGGUAUUGGUACCUCUUUUUAUCGGUGUUAGUAGACAUGGUUUAUAUCGGCGUCAUAAGUGGCCGUCUCGUAUGGUCAGUCUCGGAUUACGUCUGAGCUAACUUGAACGACAACACACCAUACAUCGGGUGACACACUUCAAGGUACCAGAGGUAUUGAAACAACGCAUCCGGUUUCAUUUUGGCGGGAAUUCUGAAGGUGUCACCCGUUGUACGAUUAAUCGACGCACACUUUUGCUCAGUCACGACCCAACGACCAUCUUAUUACCGCGAGUUUCAGAAAGAAGACCGAAACACAAUGGGGAGAUUUUGCAGCGCACCUUGAACAAUAAUAUUUUUUUCAUCGACGUCGAAACAGCAAUUAGAUCCUGGCACGAUGUUGUACCCUACAAAGGCAAGUAAUCUGCUCGAUGGCCGAUUGUUUCCCUGGACGUCGAUUCGAUACUAAUGGAACGGACCGCGAUGAAAUUACGAAGCAAAACAUGAACGACGACGUGGAAGCAAAAGCAAAAGCAAAAGCAAAACCAAAAGCAAAAGCAAAAGCAAAACGUUUUAUAGAACUGCUAAUCACCGGAGCAGAAAAUGAAACAUUGUUCGUGGUAGCAAUUUGCGAGGAAAUUAAUUAAAUAGCAAUUUAACGCUUCCAGUAGCGUGUUAAAUUCAAGGUAUAUGAUAGGAUGAUGAAAAACAGGCUGAAUAAGUACAUUGUUACAUUUCAUUGUAUUCCAUCAUUGAUCUCGUUUGUUUCUUGCGGUUUCAUCUUUCACUUGAAACAGUAUGAUUACUUCCAUAUUAAAUUCUUUUUUCAUCAUUUUUGCCAUUUCUUGUUAAUAGUAGCUUAUUAUGAUAAAAGAUCUAUAUAAAGUUAAUGUUGAAACCGAGUAAAAGGAUACAAUGAUUCUUUAUUAUUUUGUAAUUGGUGAAUGAUCCACACGCCUGAGGGCCUAUUAUAAGGAAUCUUAACGUCCAAUAAAUAUACGGCUGCGGAGCAGGCAUCAACGUUCAUGGGGGGGAAUAAUAGCAACAAAAUAAUGUUACAAUCGAGUGAAAAGUCUUUGUCAUGUAAAGUGAUAUAAUCAGUAAGCUAUAAAGAAUUCACGGUCGUAAAGCAUUGUACGUAUCUUACUCAACGUUUAACUCUCAGCCGUGAUUCACGCGUAGUUUCUUGUUUAUGGAUCAAUAAAUCUGGCGGAGGGAAGAGAAAUGAAGGAAUAAAUGAAAUCUAACAUCGACCGUGACAUUUAAUGAAGUCACACCUCAGGGACUAGCGGUGUAAUUACGGUCCUAUUCCUUUAUAAUCGUAUUGAUUUAUCGAGUUCCGUUUUGAUUGCUGAACGGACCACUUAAUCUGCGAUUAAGAAUAAUUAACUCGUCGUUUCUUCUUUUAUACGCUUUAAAGCAGAUGAAAAUGAAACUCUGUCGAAUGAUCGAAGAAAUAUUGGAACAAUAUUCAAAGAAGUUGAGUGGUCUGGAAACAGUGUAAGUUUGAAAGGUAAACGAGCCUGAGAAGGAAAGUUUGUUUUAGCAAUUCCCAGGCCUGGGAAGCAGGAAAAAGAAGCAGAGUUCUUCUUUUCCCAUAUGGACUCCUAAUCACGAAUCGCAUCGGCAGAUAUAGCGUGUACCACGAUGCGCACCCCGUUAAAUCUCAGGAUGGAAUCAAGGGAGCUCUGAUGGAGAGAAGGAGAGACACGGUGAAGAAGUCGGGGUUGCUGGGACGAGACAAAACGAGAUGGAAGAUGGAACAGUCCCAAGGAGGAACGGUGUAGCAUGGUGCUUCAGGAUGGUGUCCACCAGUCCUCCCUUAAAAUUACAAAUGGCUAUAUGCAUCCUACAUGCAAAUGCGCUAUAAAUUGCACAGUGCAACCAGCCCGUUCAAAUAAAAGCUUGAUCACUCGGUAGCCAGGACAUUUCGAGUAACAGUCCUCUUAUCUCACAUACGGUUACUCGGAGCGCAAUGACAGCCCCAGUGACAACGGCUUGUCAUCAUCGUCGUGGGAUGUUGUAUGGUGGCAAUAAACGGGCUCAUUAUUGUUAUUACCGUCGUAAGUCAACGAAGGCGUCCGAAUGCAGCUCGUUAUAACACGAUAAUCGGUCAGCAAGCGUGUGCAUCGGUAUCGGCAACGACAUGCACGCGCUUGAUUACGCGAAAGGAUAACGUCCAACUAAACGGCGCUGAGAAACUCAACACCGAUUCACCAGCUGGAAUAUCCAUUUCUCUGACCGCUGACGUCGCACUACCGUCCACCCUGGAGCCUUGAUCCUUACUCCUGUACUCGAGUUUCCAAUAAAUACUUGACGGAGAAGAUCGCUACUUCAAAUUAGUUAAUAGGAGACAUAAACGGAGAUCCUGAGCAUGAAGGAGGAGUGGUCCUCGCCUCCGGAUUCUCAUUCGAAGAGCCAAGGCACAUCGGGAUGUUAGCAGGACUACUCGG